rnacentral:lncRNA from 1 species
AUUUUCCAAUUGUUGUUUAAUUUUCUAUCUAUAUUUAUAUGCAUAAAACUUUUUCAUAAGAAACGAAUGUCAACAGAUGGAUGAAAUAAUUUUGAGGGCCAGAUUAAGGCCCGCGGGCUGUAGUUUGGGACUAUGUACUAAUAUAUAGUAUAAUAAGUUAAUUAAAAUUCUACAUACGUAUGUAUCGGAAAGGGGACAAGAUGGCGACUGUUCCGAGCCUUACGAUUUUAGGGGUUUCAGUUUAUAACACAAUAUGUUAGAAAAAAUACAUUUGUAUAUUUUUAUACUGUUGAGGCUUCAGUGUUUAUCCAAAUUUGAAGUUUUUUUUAUCAACGUGUGUGGUUUUCUCCUGCACUUGCCACUGAUUUUAGGGGCCAAUUUUUUUUUGAGAGUCUCAAAAGUAUCAGUUGUCCCGGGCCUCCCAUUUUCUCUGAAAGUCUCUAUAUGUACGUAUAUAUACAUACAUACAUACAUACACACACAGUUAUACUGGUAUUUUUCUGUUGAAAAUAAUAAUGUUUUAUUUUAAUUUUUCUACGAUUAAUCUCGACAUUUCCGUUC